GACGAACGCUGGCGGCGUGCCUAUUACAUGCAAGUCGAGCGGACAGAAGGGAGCUUGCUCCCGGAAGUUAGCGGCGGACGGGUGAGUAACACGUGGGCAACCUACCCUGUAGAUCGGGAUAACAUCGAGAAAUCGGUGCUAAUACCGGAUAAUCAUUUGAAGUGCAUGCUUCGAUGUAAAAGAUGGCUCCGGCUAUCACUACGGGAUGGGCCCGCGGCGCAUUAGCUAGUUGGUAAGGUAAUGGCUUACCAAGGCAACGAUGCGUAGCCGACCUGAGAGGGUGAUCGGCCACACUGGGACUGAGACACGGCCCAGACUCCUACGGGAGGCAGCAGUAGGGAAUCUUCCGCAAUGGACGAAAGUCUGACGGAGCAACGCCGCGUGAGUGAUGAAGGUUUUCGGAUCGUAAAGCUCUGUUGUUAGGGAAGAACAAGUGCCGUUUGAAUAAGGCGGCACCUUGACGGUACCUAACCAGAAAGCCACGGCUAACUACGUGCCAGCCGCCGCCGCCGUAA
rnacentral:rRNA from 1 species